CGUGGGGAACCUGCCCCAUAGUCUGGGAUACAACUUGGAAACAGGUGCUAAUACCGGAUAAGAAAGCAGAUCGCAUGAUCAGCUUUUAAAAGGCGGCGUAAGCUGUCGCUAUGGGAUGGCCCCGCGGUGCAUUAGCUAGUUGGUAAGGUAAAGGCUUACCAAGGCGAUGAUGCAUAGCCGAGUUGAGAGACUGAUCGGCCACAUUUGGGACUGAGACACGGCCCAAACUCCUACGGGAGGGCAGCAGCG
rnacentral:rRNA from 1 species